CUUCUACUCCCUCCGUUCGGAAUUACUUGUCGCAGAAAUGGAUGUAUCUAGACGUAUUUUAGUUCUAGAUACAUCCAUUUCCGAGACAAGUAAUUCCGAACGGAGGGAGUAAUAU
rnacentral:pre_miRNA from 1 species